AUACGGAGGGUGCAAGCGUUACUCGGAAUCACUGGGCGUAAAGCGCGUGCAGGCGGCUUGAUAAGUUGGAUGUGAAAGCCUACGGCUCAACCGUCGAACUGCAUCCAAAACUGUCAAGCUAGAGUCUGGGAGGGGAAGAUGGAAUUAGUUGUGUAGGGGUAAAAUCCGUAGAGAUAACUAGGAAUACCAAAAGCGAAGGCGAUCUUCUGGAACAGUACUGACGCUGAGGCGCGAAAGCGUGGGGAGCAAACAGGAUUAGAAACCCCUGUAGUCC
rnacentral:rRNA from 1 species